rnacentral:lncRNA from 1 species
GUGGAUAGAGUGCAUGACCUGAACUCAGGAAUACUAAUUUUCCUGAGUUCAAAUUUUCUCUCAAACAUUUACCUGCUGUGUAUCCCUGGAUACAUCACUUAAUCCUGUUGACCUGUGAACCCACUGGCCAUGUAUAAUGAGGUGGAGAAGAAACGUGCAACCACUAGAAUGCCAGGAAGAGAGGGACAUGCCUGAAACAACUUAACAACACUUACUCUCUUCUACUUUCAAACUUUGAGUGGUAAUUCCUCUUGUACUUGAACCCCUUCUAUUAUCUAUGAGAACUUCCCCCUUAGAUUAUCCCUACCCUCUGUAUUAGAAUAAUGAUACUGUGGAGACUAUUUCUGAUUGUGGUAAAUGAAUAUACUCUGGCUUGACUGUGACUAGAGAGCUACUAGGGGAACCUGAGGGUGCCUAGUUAUUAUGGAAAUAGAUGAGAGAUAAUGAGAGAUAGAGAGAUACUGCUACAGGAGAAUGCUCUGGGGUUGUCUAUUGAUCACUUUUGAUGGCUAAUAGAUCAAGAUAUUUCCUACCCUCCUCCUCCCUUCACCACCCUUUUCUCAAAAUCUUUGUCUUUGCCCCUCCCCCCUGAGUGGUCUAUGAGAUUCAUGAGGAAAAACUCCUUUCUUUUCCUUUCUCAAGUAUGGGGUUUAUUGGAAACAACAGGAUGGAGGAACAGGUGGAAUCAAGCUGGCAUUCAGAAUGGGGGUCAGGACAAAAUAACCAGAAUGUGGACAGCGCUGUGCCUUAGUAAGAAUGGAAGAGAAGGAAGUCAAAGGGAUGAGUCCUAUCCAGAUUCAAGAAGAAAUGGCAGGAGAGGACCUGGGCAUAGAUGGAUGUUAUGGAGAUCCCACUGAGAUACUAAAUGAUUGUUAGAGAUUGAUAUAAUAAGAAUAAAUAUUUGUCAUACUUU